GACGAACGCUGGCGGCGUGCUUAACACAUGCAAGUCGAACGGAAAGGCCCUGCUUUUGUGGGGUGCUCGAGUGGCGAACGGGUGAGUAACACGUGAGUAACCUGCCCUUGACUUUGGGAUAACUUCAGGAAACUGGGGCUAAUACCGGAUAGGAGCUCCUGCUGCAUGGUGGGGGUUGGAAAGUUUCGGCGGUUGGGGAUGGACUCGCGGCUUAUCAGCUUGUUGGUGGGGUAGUGGCUUACCAAGGCUUUGACGGGUAGCCGGCCUGAGAGGGUGACCGGCCACAUUGGGACUGAGCGACGGCCCAGACUCCUACGGGAGGCAGCAGUGGGGAAUAUUGCACAAUGGGCGGAAGCCUGAUGCAGCAACGCCGCGUGCGGGAUGACGGCCUUCGGGUUGUAAACCGCUUUCGCCUGUGACGAAGCGUGAGUGACGGUAAUGGGUAAAGAAGCACCGGCUAACUACGUG
rnacentral:rRNA from 1 species